rnacentral:rRNA from 1 species
GUUUGAUCCUGGCUCAGAAUGAACGCUGGCGGCGUGCCUAACACAUGCAAGUCGGAUGUGCCGCAAGGUGCAUGGCAGACGGGUGAGUAACGCGUGGGGAAUCUACCUCUUUGUGGGGAAUAACGCUCCGAAAGGAGUGGUAAUACCGCAUGAGAUCCAUGGCUGGGAUGCUGUGGAUGAAACCUGGGGACCGCAAGGCCUGGGGCAAGGAGAGGAUCCUGCGUCUGAUUAGCUAGUUGGUGAGGUAAUGGCCCACCAAGGCGACGAUCAGUAGCCGGCCUGAGAGGGUGAUCGGCCACACUGGAACUGAGACACGGUCCAGACUCCUACGGGAGGCAGCAGUGGGGAAUUUUGCGCAAUGGGCGAAAGCCU